AUUGAACGCUGGCGGCAGGCCUAACUCAUGCAAGUCGGACGGUAGCACUGAGGAGCUUGCUCCUCGGGUGACGAGUGGCGGACGGGUGAGUAAUGUCUGGGGAUCUGCCCGAUAGAGGGGGAUAACCACUGGAAACGGUGGCUAAUACCGCAUAACGCCGCAAGACCAAAGAGGGGGACCUUCUGGCCUCUCACUAUCGGAUGAACCCAGAUGGGAUUAGCUAGUAGGCGGGGUAACGGCCCACCUAGGCGACGAUCCCUAGCUGGUCUGAGAGGAUGACCAGCCACACUGGAACUGAGACACGGUCCAGACUCCUACGGGAGGCAGCAGUGGGGAAUAUUGCACAAUGGGCGCAAGCCUGAUGCAGCCAUGCCGCGUGUAUGAAGAAGGCCUUCGGGUUGUAAAGUACUUUCAGCGGGGAGGAAGGCGAUGUGGUUAAUAACCGCAUUGAUUGACGUUACCCGCAGAAGAAGCACCGGCUAACUCCGUGCCAGCAGCCGCCGUAA
rnacentral:rRNA from 1 species